rnacentral:rRNA from 1 species
AACGAACGCUGGCGGCAUGCCUAACACAUGCAAGUCGAACGAGACCUUCGGGUCUAGUGGCGCACGGGUGCGUAACGCGUGGGAAUCUGCCCUUGGGUUCGGAAUAACAGUUGGAAACGACUGCUAAUACCGGAUGAUGACGUAAGUCCAAAGAUUUAUCGCCCAAGGAUGAGCCCGCGUAGGAUUAGCUAGUUGGUGAGGUAAAGGCUCACCAAGGCGACGAUCCUUAGCUGGUCUGAGAGGAUGAUCAGCCACACUGGGACUGAGACACGGCCCAGACUCCUACGGGAGGCAGCAGUGGGGAAUAUUGGACAAUGGGCGAAAGCCUGAUCCAGCAAUGACGCGUGAGUGAUGAAGGCCUUAGGGUUGUAAAGCUCUUUUAACCGGGAUGAUAAUGACAGUACCGGGAGAAUAAGCUCCGGCUAACUCCGUG